rnacentral:rRNA from 1 species
GAUGAACGUUGGCGGUGUGCCUAAUACAUGCAAGUCGAACGGAGACUGUAGCAAUACUGUCUUAGUGGCGAACGGGUGAGUAACGCGUUGGUGAUCUGCCUCGAAGUGUGGAAUAACCUCCCGAAAGGGAAGCUAAUACCGCAUAGUCUCUCAAGGUUUAGAAAAUUGAGAGUAAAGGAUUUAUUCGCUUCGAGAGGAGCCUGCGUCCCAUCAGCUAGUUGGUAGGGUAACGGCCUACCAAGGCAAUGACGGGUAGGGGACCUGAGAGGGUGGCCCCCCACAAUGGAACUGAAACACGGUCCAUACACCUACGGGUGGCAGCAGUAGGGAAUAUUAGUAAUGGGCGAAAGCCUGAACUAGCAACGCCGCGUGUGCGAAGAAGGCCUUCGGGUCGUAAAGCACUUUUUGAGAGGAUGAGGAAGGACGGGUACUCUCAGAAUAAGUCUCGGCUAACUAACGUG